rnacentral:lncRNA from 1 species
UUCAUCUCAUGCCCCUUUAACCAAUCUUAACACCUCACACCCAAGUGUUGGAUGCCCAAAGUGUUAGGAUGCCCUAAGAAAUUAACAUGAAAGAAGUUCACAUUACAAGUGGGCUAAAGCAUGCAAUCUUACGAAGAGGAAAAAGGCUGAAAUUCUUGAGAAGAAUUUUCAGCAAUGAGGGAAAAAAAUUCACCAUCACAACAGAAAUCUCUACAAGGGAGCUAGCAUCCCAAUGAGGUUAGAAAUCAUUGAUCAAAUCAGAAUCUUGUGUCGAUACCUAUAGAAAUUGGAUGCUUAUACAGC